rnacentral:rRNA from 1 species
CUACGGGCCGCUCCAGUGGGGAAUAUUGCACAAUGGGGGGAACCCUGAUGCAGCAACGCCGCGUGGAGGAUGACGCAUUUCGGUGUGUAAACUCCUUUUAUAUGUCAAGAAAAUGACGGUAGCAUAUGAAUAAGCACCGGCUAACUCCGUGCCAGCAGCCGCGGUAAUACGGAGGGUGAAGCGUUACUCGGAAUCACUGGGCGGAAAGGACGCGUAGGCGGGUUGGAAAGUCAGGUGUGAAAUCCUACAGCUUAACUGUAGAACUGCACUUGAAACUUCUAAUCUAGAGUAUGGGAGGGGGAGAUGGAAUUAGUGGUGUAGGGGUAAAAUCCGUAGAUAUCACUAGGAAUACCUAAAGCGAAGGCGAUCUCCUGGAACAUUACUGACGCUAAGGCGUGAAAGCGUGGGGAGCAAACAGGAUUAGAUACCCCCGUAGUC